rnacentral:rRNA from 1 species
AGUGAACGCUGGCGGUAGGCCUAACACAUGCAAGUCGAACGGCAGCACAGUAAGAGCUUGCUCUUACGGGUGGCGAGUGGCGGACGGGUGAGGAAUACAUCGGAAUCUACUUUUUCGUGGGGGAUAACGUAGGGAAACUUACGCUAAUACCGCAUACGGCCUACGGGUGAAAGCAGGGGAUCUUCGGACCUUGCGCGAUUGAAUGAGCCGAUGUCGGAUUAGCUAGUUGGCGGGGUAAAGGCCCACCAAGGCGACGAUCCGUAGCUGGUCUGAGAGGAUGAUCAGCCACACUGGAACUGAGACACGGUCCAGACUCCUACGGGAGGCAGCAGUGGGGAAUAUUGGACAAUGGGCGCAAGCCUGAUCCAGCCAUACCGCGUGGGUGAAGAAGGCCUUCGGGUUGUAAGGCCCUUUUGUUGGGAAAGAAAAGCAGCAGGUUAAUACCCCGCUGUUCUGACGGUACCCAAAGAAUAAGCACCGGCUAACUUCGUG